CGUCCGAUUCAACCUCCCAUGCACCCACACCACGCCUCGCCUCCUGUUCGACCCACGGCUUGCCUCCUCAUAAAACUAGAUGAGAUAAUUAUUUAAGUUGUUGGAACGGAUUCCUUUUUUAUAGGAAUACCGAACGUCACCCUUGAAGCUAAUCUCAUCGAUCUAUUAUUCUCGCGCAUGCCUCGCUCGUACGGCGGCUGACCUAAUUCUUGUAGCUUCGUCGCCGCCGACGGCGACUCGCUGCAUGCAUCAGCAUGGAACAAGACGACACCCCCGUUUUUGCCCAGCAGGUCUCCGACGUCGAGCGCUCUCCACCGGCCACUCCCCCCGUCAGAAUCAGCCACAACUCACACGAGCCACCCGUCAAUUGAUUGAAGAAACAAGGAAGAAGCACCUUGUGUCACCACAGUUACCAUGGGUGCAAAGCAUGUAGAAUUCAUGUGACCGAGGAACGUCCAAUCGAUUUUUCUUAAAGUAUAUUUGGUGUCAUGUGGAGCUUGAUGGAAGAUACUAUCUUUUUUGUACUCCCUAUUUUUCUAGCAUUUAAUCGUUCUUAAAAAUGUAAGAGUAGUUGCAUGUUCUGAUCAAGAUACAAAUUCGUUAUAAGAUCCAGGUUCCUGUAGCACCACCAGAGAAGUAUGUACGUUGUUGCCACUUGACAAGUAUAUACUCCUUUCCCAAGAGGCAGUAUAAACUCGUUUAAAAUUCUAUGUAUUUGCUUUCUA